GACUUCAACCAUGCUACCCUGAACAAGCCCGAUCCCGUCUAAUUUCCGAAGCUAAGCAGGGUCGGGCCUGGUUAGUACUUGGGUGGGAGACAACCUAGGAAGACCAGGUGCUGUAGGCG
rnacentral:rRNA from 1 species